GUUAGGGAAUGUGAGUCUAACGGCCCAUGCCAGCCCGUGUGCUAAGGGAAAUACUAUAUAAGGAGCAGUGCGGUCACUAGGAUGAGGCAUGGAAUAUUGAGAAUACGGUUCCUUCUACAGUUUUCUCUCUUACAUGUAUCCUCUAUCCCCUCUCUAGGUUCUUCUAGAUCUUCUAGAGUGGCUUCGGCAUUCUUCUCCUAUCCUUAAUCCUCAUGCUGUUCUUCCUUCCUAGACUCUAAUCCUCUGUAAUCGCUACUGUUAAGUUGAAUCAAUACACACCGGCAGUGAGUUGCUAACAAUUGGUAUCAGAGCUGUUCGAUCCUCAGAGUUUUCUAGCUCGAUCUGUUUUACUCGACUGCACUGCAUCGAAAUGUCGCUCGACACGAAGCUCCUCCUCGACGCCAUUAGUGAGCUCUUCGACAAGUUCGACGCGCGAUGGACCAUGCGGGAUGCCGCGCGGGAGGCAUUCGGGCGCGUCCAUGUUACGGCCCAGUCCACGGUUGUCGGAGCCGACGUGGUCGCCGACAACUGGGGCAACCUCUUCGACAGUGGCGUCGACUCCGACGAGCAGCGCUACGAGGAACCCAUCAACACCGACAAUUGGGGUGGAUUCUUCGGUGGCGAGGAUGCGGCUGCCAACGCCGAGUUCGCCAUCGAUUCGCCAGACGACCCCAAGAGAUUCAUCCUCCCCAACGCCUACACCGACGAGCCCAGCAUCGACCUCGCGCUGGCCCGCACCAACUCCGGAGUAUCGGACGACUCCGUCAAUGCGCUCGUCACCUCCACAGACACCGACGCGCUGCUCGACGUCGUCCCCGCGGACGCGCUUGCGUCCUUCACUCGCCCCGAGGAAGGCCGCGCUCCCUUCUUCCACAACGAGAUCUCGGGCGACGUUCCCGCGCUCGCCCAUCUCACCUGUUUCGCCCGCCGCGACCUCGCCGCCCUCCAGGAGUUUGAGUUGCCACCAACAGACGACGUCAUACGGGCCUGCGACAUCAACAGACGACGUCCACCACGCGAGGGGGCAACGCCACCUGCUCUACCUCGACAGCCUACGUCGCGACUCCGAGGACGUGCAGGCUGCACAGCUCGCGCGCUCCUUCCGCGCCCUCGCCGGCUUCGUGAUUCCCUGCGCCCUCGCCAAGGCCAUGUACAAGGCCUACUGGUACCGCGAUGUCGCCGCCGCAUCCGGAUUUACGUGGUGGUGGGCCACUGCAGCCCCACCAUCCACGAGGCCGCCAGCAAGGCACCCGCGCUCGACGACUGGCUGCUGAAGCCCCUCGCCCAUCACCGUCUUCUGGGGCGCGCCUACUACGAGGAGGAUGAGGUCUUCCGCACCAUGCCCACCAAGUGUUCGACGACGGUCCUCAACUACGACGCUUACUCCGUUCCCAACCCUGCCACUUCACUGACAACCAGUGCGUUCACCAGGCCCAUCUUCAAUGACUACAGCUCCGUGGAGCGGAAUAGUACGGAAAAUGGGACAGUGCUGGUGGUGCAGUUCGCGGGGGCGUUGCGCGGCCUACGCGCUACCGACGGCGAGGACCUGCUUCGGAUACUCCACCUCAACCCACGCCUGCGCAGCGACUGGAGCGAUCGACCCAUGCUAGAGAUGAACACCUGCUUCGAAUUAUCCAAGGGUUCGAUCAGCAGGUGGUUCUCUGAACCAUCAGUGCCGAGUCAGAUGAAGCUAUGGCCGUGCAAAGUCAUUCCAGGCCCUGGUGACAAACCCAUGAUAGUAGUCAACUUCAAGGGUGAGGAGAAACAGCUCGCUGCUGAGGAGAUCUCCCUCAUGGUACUCAUAAAGAUGGAGGACACAACUAACAAUUUUGCCCGUGGCUACUACGCUGUUGGAAAAGGGAUUAUGUUGGUAGCUAACAACUUUGAUGAUGGCCUCUUUUAUGGGAGCAAUGAGUUACGUUCAUUCAUCAUCUUACCCUGGGACAUUGUGGACCACAUCCAACCAAGGUUUUUCACUGCUAGUUUCAUCGAUGCAACCUCAGUUGAUGAUGCUGUUGUUUGGUUCUGUUCUGCAACCAAUGCCACACAUGCUGUUCUGAAAGUGUGUGAGGAAAUUUUUGCUCUAAAUAUAGUGUGUAUCAAGCAACCAUGGCAGCCACUCAUGGAGUUAGAGUGCUUGGAUUUGCGCUUAGUCAAUUCAGUCACUGGGUCAGCACUGAAAAUUUACUACACCAAUGAAGUUUCAUUGUUGGUUGAAGAAUUACGCAAGCUCAAGAAGAAUGAACAGUGUGCGGUUUGUUUGGAGCCAACACAUAUGGGUGUCACUAGUGGUUGCUUACCAGAGGGAUGUGUCAUUGCCAAUCUAUGCGGUUGUGUGACACUGACAGGAUGUGGCCAUAUGGCCAGUGAUAUAAAUGCGCAAGUUCUAUUGAUAGCUGGUGAACUAAUUCAAGGACAAAAGCAGAAGAGUCACAAUGGAUGCGGAGGCAAUACAAAUGUCAUCAUCUCAAUUCAACAAGAUUUGGUUCAAUGUUGUGUUUCUUUUCCAUUGAGCAAUUGUUGUUUCAUGCAUUGGGUUGUCUGUUGGAAACCGCCGUGGCCGCUUCAACCUCGACAAGACAUCAGUGCUGAACUGCGACCAAUACCAUGGCCCUCCUUUGGAGCUUCCGAUGAAGCUACUGCAAGGCAGGAUGACACAUGCGACCCAUUGAGAGUUGCCGUAAAAAAAAAAGAUGGAGACAAGCCCAGGCCUUGCAUCACAGAAUCUGUCAGUUUUGAACGUGAAAGCUUAGUACGUGAAGCAGACAUAGUAAUCGCAGCAGCUGAGCAGGCUAUGAUGAUCACAGGGGAUUGUAGUGGAAUGAAUACUGGGUAUUGGCUUGUGGGCAAGCCAAUUUUUAAGAAGGGGGGAAUGUUAGGGAAUGUGAGUCUAACGGCCCAUGCCAGCCCGUGUGCUAAGGGAAAUACUAUAUAAGGAGCAGUGCGGUCACUAGGAUGAGGCAUCGAAUAUUGAGAAUACGGUUCCUUCUACAGUUUUCUCUCUUACAUGUAUCCUCUAUCCCCUCUCUAGGUUCUUCUAGAUCUUCUAGAGUGGCUUCGGCAUUCUUCUCCUAUCCUUAAUCCUCAUGCUGUUCUUCCUUCCUAGACUCUAAUCCUCUGUAAUCGCUACUGUUAAGUUGAAUCAAUACACACCGGCAGUGAGUUGCU
rnacentral:lncRNA from 1 species